rnacentral:tRNA from 1 species
AAGAUAUUAGUAAAACACAUUACAUAACUUUGUCGAAGUUAAAUUAUAGACUAAGAUCUAUAUAUCUUA